UACGUAGGGGGCAAGCGUUGUCCGGAAUCAUUGGGCGUAAAGAGCGUGUAGGCGGCUCGGUAAGUCCGCUCUGAAAGCCCGGGGCUCAACCCCGGGAGGCGGGCGGAUACUGUCGGGCUAGAGUCCGGAAGAGGCGAGUGGAAUUCCUGGUGUAGCGGUGAAAUGCGCAGAUAUCAGGAGGAACACCAAUGGCGAAGGCAGCUCGCUGGGACGGUACUGACGCUGGAGACGCGAAAGCGUGGGGAGCAAACAGG
rnacentral:rRNA from 1 species